rnacentral:rRNA from 1 species
AGAGUUUGAUCCUGGCUCAGGAUGAACGCUAGCAGCAGGCUUAACACAUGCAAGUCGAGGGGCAUCAUUGGAGUAGCAAUACUUCAGAUGGCGACCGGCGCACGGGUGCGUAACGCGUAUGCAACCUACCUUUAACAGGGGGAUAACACUGAGAAAUCGGUACUAAUACCCCAUAACAUCGCAGACGGCAUCGUUUGCGGUUGAAAACUCCGG